rnacentral:rRNA from 1 species
UACGUAGGGUGCAAGCGUUGUCCGGAAUCAUUGGGCGUAAAGCGCGUGUAGGCGGCUUGGUAAGUCCGGUGUGAAACCUUGGGGCUCAACCCCAAGCCUGCACUGGAUACUGCCUCGCUUGAGUCCGGGAGGGGAGAGCGGAAUUCCUAGUGUAGCGGUGAAAUGCGCAGAUAUUAGGAAGAACACCGGUGGCGAAGGCGGCUCUCUGGAACGGUACUGACGCUGAGACGCGAAAGCGUGGGGAGCGAACAGG